rnacentral:rRNA from 1 species
AUUGAACGCUGGCGGCAGGCUUAACACAUGCGAGUCGAACGGUAACAUAGAGAAGCUUGCUUCUUUGAUGACGAGUGGCGGGCGGGUGAGUAAUGCUUGGGAAUCUGGCUUAUGGAGGGGGAUAACUACGGGAAACUGUAGCUAAUACCGCGUAAUAUCGAAAGAUUAAAGUGUGGGACCUUCGGGCCACAUGCCAUAGGAUGAGCCCAAGUGGGAUUAGGUAGUUGGUGAGGUAAAGGCUCACCAAGCCGACGAUCUCUAGCUGGUCUGAGAGGAUGACCAGCCACACUGGGACUGAGACACGGCCCAGACUCCUACGGGAGGCAGCAGUGGGGAAUAUUGCGCAAUGGGGGCAACCCUGACGCAGCCAUGCCGCGUGAAUGAAGAAGGCCUUCGGGUUGUAAAGUUCUUUCGGUAGCGAGGAAGGUGGUUAGUUUAAUAGGCUAGCCAAUUGACGUUAACUACAGAAGAAGCACCGGCUAACUCCGUG